rnacentral:lncRNA from 1 species
UGUUAAACAAUAAACAGCAACAUUUGUCUCAGAUUCAUGGAUUUUGUGUGUUUUUUCAUCUAUUUAGGGUGAAUUGGGCUUUCCUGGCCCUAAAGGACAAGAGGGACCACCUGGGAAAGGACUUUCUGGAGAGAAGGGGGAUCGAGGAGAGAGAGGAACUAGAGGACUUCCAGGACCCAAGGGACCAGCGGGUCCAGUUGGGGCCAAGGUGAGAAAUUACCAAAAAAAAAAAAAAACUCCAAAACAAUUUAAGCAAUAAGUUAAAUAUGAAAAUUUAAGCUAUAAUUAAUUAAUAAUAUCAAGGAGGAAGAAUUAAAAUUAAAGCUUCAUGGUUUAUUUGUUGUUUCAGGGAAAGCCGGGGGGGGUUGGGCCUCCAGGAAUGAUUGGUGCCCCAGGGAGGGGUAUACCAGGGCCAAAGGGGGAUCCUGGACAACCUGGAGCUCCAGGACCUGUUGGAGAAACAGGGAUAGGGAUCCCUGGACCGAAGGUCAGUUUUACAGUAUUUUUUAUAAACGCUUCAAUCUGUUUAAACACCAAACUAAAAAAACAAGCUCCUCAACAAGUCCUAGAGGGUCACAUUAGUAAAGUCAAUCUAAACAGACUUCUGAAAAUGUUAAACAAAAA